rnacentral:sRNA from 1 species
CUCGACCCUCCUACUCGAUCCUCUACUCGACCUCUUUACUCGAUCAAGGGCGACCUAGUCUACAAGACUUGUUGAUCGUUCAAAGCGUCUUCGGAUCUUCCUCAUUCUCCACUGGACCAGACAUCUUAGCAUACAGAUAGGAGAGGAAGAAGCAUCUACUCGACCAAUUGAUCACUCGGAGCAUGGAGGCAAAAGGCGCAGACUUUGCUCCACCCUCUUUACUCGAUCCCCAAGAUCGAGCAUCCAUCCAAACCGCCUCAAGUCUCUUGUCUUCUAGUGAAUCUAGGGUUUUUGAGACUUUAGUAUAAAUAGGUCACUUUGGGAUUUGUCCAAAGGACCAAGUUUUUAUCUCUUAGUUUUUCUUUGUGUUCUUGAAUCUUAAAACCUUAAUUACUCUUAAU